CAAGGCCUUGCGCUCUUUGAGCGGCCGAUGUCAGAUUAGCUAGUUGGUGAGGUAAAGGCUUACCAAGGCGACGAUCUGUAGCGGGUCUGAGAGGAUGAUCCGCCACACUGGAACUGAGACACGGUCCAGACUCCUACGGGAGGCAGCAGUGGGGAAUUUUGGACAAUGGGGGCAACCCUGAUCCAGCCAUGCCGCGUGAGUGAAGAAGGCCUUCGGGUUGUAAAGCUCUUUCGGCCGGGAAGAAAUCGCAUGGGCCAAUACCCUGUGUGGAUGACGGUACCGGAAUAAGAAGCACCGGCUAACUACGUGCCAGCAGCCGCGGUAAUACGUAGGGUGCGUGCGUUAAUCGGAAUUACUGGGCGUAAAGCGUGCGCAGGCGGUUUUGUAAGACAGGCGUGAAAUCCCCGGGCUUAACCUGGGAACUGCGUUUGUGACUGCAAGGCUAGAGUACGGCAGAGGGGGGUGGAAUUCCACGUGUAGCAGUGAAAUGCGUAGAGAUGUGGAGGAACACCAAUGGCGAAGGCAGCCCCCUGGGCCGAUACUGACGCUCAUGCACGAAAGCGUGGGUAGCAAACAGGAUUAGAUACCCUGGUAGUCCACGCCCUAAACUAUGUCAACUAGGUGUUGGGUGGGUAAAACCAUUUAGUACCGUAGCUAACGCGUGAAGUUGACCGCCUGGGGAGUACGGCCGCAAGGUUAAAACUCAAAGGAAUUGACGGGGACCCGCACAAGCGGUGGAUGAUGUGGAUUAAUUCGAUGCAACGCGAAAAACCUUACCUACCCUUGACAUGCCAGGAACUUGCCAGAGAUGGCUUGGUGCCCGAAAGGGAGCCUGGACACAGGUGCUGCAUGGCUGUCGUCAGCUCGUGUCGUGAGAUGUUGGGUUAAGUCCCGCAACGAGCGCAACCCUUGUCGUUAAUUGCCAUCAUUUAGUUGGGCACUUUAACGAGACUGCCGGUGACAAACCGGAGGAAGGUGGGGAUGACGUCAAGUCCUCAUGGCCCUUAUGGGUAGGGCUUCACACGUCAUACAAUGGUCGGUACAAAGGGUUGCCAAGCCGCGAGGCGGAGCCAAUCCCAGAAAGCCGAUCGUAGUCCGGAUUGCAGGCUGCAACUCGCCUGCAUGAAGUCGGAAUCGCUAGUAAUCGUGGAUCAGCAUGUCACGGUGAAUACGUUCCCGGGUCUUGUACACACCGCCCGUCACACCAUGGGAGCGGGUUCCGCCAGAAGUAGGUAGCCUAACCGCAAGGGGGGCGCUUACCACGGCGGGGUUCGUGACUGGGGUGAAGUCGGAACAAGGUA
rnacentral:rRNA from 1 species